rnacentral:lncRNA from 1 species
UGCCUCCCGAGUGCUGGGAUUAAAGGCGUGCACCACCACACCCGGUGUGCAUCCCUUUUUACACAGGACACUCUGUCAGGCUCCGCAACUUGUACACACCACACAGCUAAUAAGCAAAUGGCAAAGCCUUGGUUCACAGGCAGAUCCCCUACCCCUGAAUAUCCUGUGCAUCCUGUUAGGAGGCUUACAAGAGCAGUGUUUGGGUGUGGAGUUAAAAUGAUUGUGUAUGUACAUUUAUAUAAGUUACAUACUACCAUAAAUUUUCUAAUUUUUUACUUUCAGAUAUUUUAAUAUCCCAAUUCCAGGAAAAUACUGGAUAACACCUU